rnacentral:rRNA from 1 species
GAUGAACGCUGGCGGCGUGCUUAACACAUGCAAGUCGAACGAUGAAGCCCAGCUUGCUGGGUGGAUUAGUGGCGAACGGGUGAGUAACACGUGAGUAACCUGCCCUUAACUCUGGGAUAAGCCUGGGAAACUGGGUCUAAUACCGGAUAGGAGCGUCCACCGCAUGGUGGGUGUUGGAAAGAUUUAUCGGUUUUGGAUGGACUCGCGGCCUAUCAGCUUGUUGGUGAGGUAAUGGCUCACCAAGGCGACGACGGGUAGCCGGCCUGAGAGGGUGACCGGCCACACUGGGACUGAGACACGGCCCAGACUCCUACGGGAGGCAGCAGUGGGGAAUAUUGCACAAUGGGCGCAAGCCUGAUGCAGCGACGCCGCGUGAGGGAUGACGGCCUUCGGGGUGUAAACCUCUUUCAGUAGGGAAGAAGCGAAAGUGACGGUACCUGCAGAAGAAGCACCGGCUAACUACGUG